rnacentral:lncRNA from 1 species
AAAAACUCAAAAUUAAUUAAGUUGUUCGUGUCAUCUUACAGGGACGUGUUUUUUAAAAAAUUAAGGCAUAAAACGCCCAGAAAAUGUCAAACCAAACCGGAGAAAUUAGUUCAAAAUAUACAGUUCAAAGACAUCAGGACAACAUUCAUCGGUGAGCUGAAACUGCACCGCCAACCAAUCAUCAGAAGCCCCUACAACAACUUAUACAGUCAAGACGCAACCUAUGGUUAUUCGAGUACGUCUGUUUUUCCCGCCAAAAUUCGGCCUCAGGCGAGAUUAUGAGUAAAUUAUCGAGAUAUUUGCGAGUUGAUAAUCGUCUUUUUCCUCCAUAAAAUAGUUGAGAUUAGACUUGCAGAAAUCUGUAUACAUCAUCAGUGGGUGGUGUCUCGUGAGCUUCUUUAUCUAUUGAGGAAAACUUGGAUUGGACAUCGAAUAAACCUGAGCAGUUAUUGGAUUAUCCGACACUUGAAGUGUUUGAACUCGUGUGAUAUAAAGCUGGCUGUCUUUAGGCAUGGACCAUUUAGGAUAAAGAGAAAGCAGCGUUGCCAAGUUCACCACCAAGGACGCCCAUGCUGCGACCAAGCCCAAAGCCCCCAUUUUUUAUGCUGGUCGUGAAAAUUGCGAACGGGGAUAGGGCAAUCAUCGUGGGGUAAUCAAUGAGGACAGAGUCGGUGCGGGUUAUGUGACUGGUAUUCUCAAAUCAAAACCAAACAAAGAGCACUCAAGUUACACUUGAGCCAGCUUCGAAAAUCGGUCACAGAGCAUAGUUUGCCAAUAUAUUAGUGUUGUCGACUCAGUUCGGCGUUCAAUGUAAAUAAAAAAAAACAACCCGUUGUUACCCUUCUCUAGGCGACCCAGUGAAAAUCCGGUUCUAACUGCUCCCAGAUCUUGGCUUCAGCCUGAUUAAUCACACGGAGAUCGAACAACGCAGUAUAAAGGUGUCCUAUUCACUUUUCCAGAAUUCACUGUAGCACACACACGCCUGCAUUCACAGUGUUCUUAAUCGUCGUGGAAAAUCAUUCUCAGAAGGUAAAAAAAUAAACUGAAAAAUUUUAUGCAACUUUUUGCCUUUGGUGUGCGCUUCCUUGAUGAUUUUACAAAUGUAUAAAAAUUGAAGCAUAUUUCUCUCUUUCAAAGAUUUUGAACUAUUUAAUUCCACGAAAAAAUAUGGAUUUUGCUGGUAGUAAUCAGUGACCCCA